rnacentral:lncRNA from 1 species
AGCGUCUCAACGCGCGCGCGGGCGGCGGGGAUGGCUGGGCCAGUUCGGGCGCAGUCGGUUCUGGGCCGGUUCGGCCCAAGCGGUCGGACCGGUCUGGUUUUCCUUUUUUUUUCUUUUCUUUUUCCCUUUUUCUCAUUUCUUUGAUAACUUUUGUUUUUGAACUCCAAAUUGGUCCAAAUAAAUUGCAGAAAAUUUGUAAAAUCAUGUUCUAUCAUGAUACAACUUUUGGGAGUAGUUUCCCUUCAAAAUAAAAUAUCUAAAAAUACAUUUGUCCUAUAAAUGCCUUUAGGGCUAUAUAACUAUUUAAAUAAAAUACUUUUUCAACUCCAAAUAAACCCCUUUUAUAAAUAAACCCUAUUGGUUUGAAAUUCCAAAGCUCAAAUGGGUGUAAACCCUAGGGUUUAAAUUGAAAUAAAAAUCUUUUAAAGCCUUUUGAGAUCCAAAUUUGAAUUC